rnacentral:lncRNA from 1 species
UUGGCAGCAAGCAUGACUUACUCAUUGAGCCAUUUCAGCAACCCAGCAGUGAUGGCUGCAAACUUACAGCAAUGGGCUAGGAUCUGAUAAAAUGUCUGACCUCCUUGGUACCAGGCACUUAUGCAGUAUAUAAAUAAAAUGAAAGCAAACACAUAAAAUAAAUAAAUCUUAAAGAAUAAACAAAAUGUAAAGCUAUUGAAAUCCUUAUAGGACCUAUGAAGUAUUUUGGUAUGAUGGAUAACUCAGUUUACAUGGAGGUAAAACUUUACAGUGAAUGUAGGUCUAGUAUUACUCUACCAAGAUACUUUUAAAAUAAUUCCAUCUCUUCCGUACCACAAAACAGGGGAAAAAGAACAUUCUGUGAGUUCCUUCUCUAAAGAAAAGUAUUUUUGAAAUAUUGAUGUCUCUCCACAUCUUGUUCUGCCUUAUGCUUCUGUUCUGGUUUGGAAGCAAGGCCUCUUGAGUGCAUGCUAGUCUCUAACUUGCUGUAGAGGGGCAGACGGGACCAGAGCUAAAACUGUCUCUCCCUCCACAGUGCUGGGACCACCAGGUCUGCUUUCUGCUUUGUUUUAUAAAGCCAAUAAAAUGAAAGGCUAACAUAAGUCUCCUUGGGUAAAAUCUUUCUUCAUUUGUGUUUUAGGGAUAAUGAAUUUCUAAAAUUACAUUUUAAUCUCAUUUUUCUAACCUAUAUAAAAUAAUUGAAAAUUGUGAAAAGAAGGUGGAACUCUUAAUCUUUUUUGUUUGUUUUCUCUCUUUUUUUUAAUUGCAUAUUUUCUUUAUUUAUAUUUCAAAUGUUAUCCCCUUUCCCAUUUUCCCUCCCGCCCGGAAACACGCCUGCUUCUAUGAGGGUGUUCCUCUACCCACCCACCCACUCACACCUCUCACCCCCAUUCCCCUACACUGGGGCAUCUGUCAAGCCUUCAUAGGACCAAGGACCUCCCCUCCCAUGGGUGCAUGACAAGGCCAUCCUCUGCAAUGUAUGCAGCUGGAGCCAUGUGUACUCCUUUGUUGAUGGCUUAGUCCCUGGGAGCUUUGGGGGGUCUGGUUGAUUGAUAUUGUUGUUCCUCUUACUGUGGCUUUACAAACCCAUCCAACUCCUUCAGUCCCUUUUCUAACUCCUCUAUUAGGGAACCCACGCUCAGUCAAAUGGUUGGCUGCUAACAUCCACCUCUGUAUUUGUAAGGCUCUGGCAGGAGACAGCCAUAUCAGGCUCCUUUCAGCGUGCACUUCUUGGCAUCCAUCCACAAUAGUGUCUGGGUUUGGUAACUCUAUAUGGGAUGGAUCCCCAGGUGGGACAGUCUUUGGGUGGCCUUUCCUUUAGCUUACACUUUAUCUUCAUAUUGCUCCUGUGAGUAUUUUGCUCUCCUUCUAAGAAGUACCAAAGCACCCACACUUUGGCUUUCCUUCAUAUUGAGCUUCAUGUGGUCUGUGAAUUAUAUCCUGGUUAUUUGGAGCUUUUGGGCUAAUAUCCACUUAACAGUGAGUGCAUACCAUGUGUGUUCUUUUGCAAUUGGGUUAUCUCAGUCAGGAUGAUAUUUUCUAGUUCAUUUGCCUAAGAAUUUCACAAACUCAUCAUUUUUAAUAGCUGAGUAGUACUCCAUUUUGUAAAUGUACCACAUUUUCUGUAUCCAUUCCUCUGUUGAAGGAACUUUGUGCCAAUUUAAGGAAUGCCUUUGCAGACCGCUUAGGGCAGCUGCCUGGGAUUCUAUGGAUGCUGCAGUCAUUUAGCUAUUGUCCAUUUUGGUUACUGGUAAAGAAAAGUGCACUAUAAAACCAGCAUGAAGUGCCCUCUGACUGUGUCUGAGGACAGCAAAGCCAAACAGUAGACUGCAGACAAAGAAAGCUGAAGGCUGCAGCCAGACUGCAUGCACUGGGCAGUAAAACUCCACCCAGACUAGAAAUACCUCCUAAAGCCCUCACAGAGGCAACAGAGAAGGAAACAGCAACACUUUUGCUGAAAUCUUAUUUUACUUCUCUUUCUAUUAGAAGCUUGAAAUUCUUCUAGGUAAAGCUUUCUUUAGUGUAGCAUGGAAAUUGUGGAGAAAGGCAAUAGAAACUAUUUCUGUGUAGUGCCAUAAACUUUAUGAGUAAUGUUAAUGGCUUCAAAGGUAAUACCCAGCCCAGCUGUUGUUUGGUAGCUAUAAAUAUUUGGAGUUUCAAAUUUCCUGAAGUUCGUAUUAAAGGUGGCCUUAGUCAUGCAAAUGUGGGUCCAACUGAUGUUAUCUGUAAACAGGAAGACUUUGAAGGAAUGUUAAUCUCAUUUGCUUCACAUAAAGACUGAGUUGUACAACUUUAUUUCUAAUGCUCUUGGGGGAAAAAGGGGAAAAAAGGGGAAGGAAAAGAUGGACCAAAAAAGGGAGGAAAGGGAAAAUAGGCAACCAGCUGCAGGCUUACACUUCCUUUAAAAUCAACCCCACAGUUUGUGUUAAUACCCCAUCCUCAUUCUUAGUGGAUGCUAAUACCGUGCUUUCUACUAUUGCUUAAGAAUGUGUUUCUGCCGUUAUGAUCAAAGUGCUGCAGAGAGGAUACCUGUGGUCAGAGGAAGCUGGCUCAUAAGCAGGCUCUGCAAGAUUGUGUUCGUCCUAUGUAAGUUUGUAUCCAGUCUAUCUAAACUAAGCAUUCCUUCAUUUGGAGUUUCAUAUCGGAAUGGAUCUUCUGUAAUGUGGGGUGUACAGUAGUUACUGCAGAGGAAUAGCUCUACUAGUUGGAUUAAUAGGUGUUAGCGUCACAUUAGCAGUUGAUACCAUUUGCUGUUUUAGUCCUAGAUCACAACCAUUUGGUCCUGUUUAAAGACAUUUGCUAGGCAACAGGGAUACAAAGUUAAACCAGAGCUAUAUAGUCAUGUAGCUAGAACAGACUUUUAAAUAAAUUAUCACAUCUUACUGUGAUGUGAGUCACACCCAAUACGUCUCAGAUGGUGGCUACUUACAUCACAAGUAGAUUUGGUGAGCAGUGCAAAUAUAUAUGCGAGCAUUUGAGAAUGAGAAUACACUCCAUAGAGGAUCAGACCCAGAGAGGUUAAGGACACAUUGAAGACAUUACAAUAAAAUGAGGGGGUCAUCACUGAACUACAUGAAGGUUAGAAAUGAGAUUAGAGUUGACUUCCUGGGAGAAUUUCAGGUAGAGGAAUAGAAGAUUCAGCUUUGUAUUUUGAGGAAAGCUACCAGAGGGCUGUACAGAAAGGCCUAGUGCUCCCUCCCAAGUAUGAAAGAAAG